rnacentral:rRNA from 1 species
UAUGAACGCUGGCGGCGUGCCUAAUACAUGCAAGUCGAGCGAACGGACGAGAAGCUUGCUUCUCUGAUGUUAGCGGCGGACGGGUGAGUAACACGUGGAUAACCUACCUAUAAGACUGGGAUAACUUCGGGAAACCGUAGCUAAUACCGGAUAAUAUUUUGAACCGCAUGGUUCAAAAGUGAAAGACGGUCUUGCUGUCACUUAUAGAUGGAUCCGCGCUGCAUUAGCUAGUUGGUAAGGUAACGGCUUACCAAGGCAACGAUGCAUAGCCGACCUGAGAGGGUGAUCGGCCACACUGGAACUGAGACACGGUCCAGACUCCUACGGGAGGCAGCAGUAGGGAAUCUUCCGCAAUGGGCGAAAGCCUGACGGAGCAACACCGCGUGAGUGAUGAAGGUCUUCGGAUCGUAAAACUCUGUUAUUAGGGAAGAACAUAUGUGUAAGUAACUGUGCACAUCUUGACGGUACCUAAUCAGAAAGCCACGGCUAACUACGUG